rnacentral:rRNA from 1 species
AGUGAACGCUGGCGGUAGGCCUAACACAUGCAAGUCGAACGGCAGCACAGUAAGAGCUUGCUCUUACGGGUGGCGAGUCGCGGACGGGUGAGGUAAACAUCGGAAUCUACUUUUUCGUGUGGAUAACGUAGGCUAACUUACGUUCAUACCACAUACGACUUACGGGUGAAAGCAGGUGGUCUUCGGACCUUGCGCGAUUGAAUGACCCGAUGUCGGAGUAGCUAGUUGGCGGGGUAAAGGACCACCACGGCGACGAGCCGUUGCUGGUGGGGGGGGAUGAUCACCCGCCCUGGAACUGAGACACGGUCCAGACUCCUACGGGAGGCAGCAGUGGGGAAUAUUAGACAGUGGGCGCAAGCCUGAUCCAACCAUACCGCGUGUGUGAAGAAGGCCUUCGGGUUGUAAAGCCCUUUUGUUGGGAAAGAACAGCAGCAGGUUGAUACCCCGCUGUUCUGACGGUACCCAAAGAAUAAGCACCGGCUAACUUCGUG